UACGUAGGCAGCGAGCGUUGUUCGGAAUUACUGGGCGUAAAGAGUGUGUAGGCGGUGCUCUAAGUUCGGUGUGAAAUCUCCCGGCUUAACUGGGAGGGUGCGCCGGAAACUGGAGUGCUCGAGCGUGGGAGAGGAAAGCGGAAUUCCUGGUGUAGCGGUGAAAUGCGUAGAGAUGUGGAGGAAUACCGAUGGCGAAGGCAGCCCCCUGGGAUAACACUGACGCUCAUGCACGAAAGCGUGGGGAGCAAACAGG
rnacentral:rRNA from 1 species